ensembl:lncRNA
GUUGACUCAGUUUCUUCAAAUUGAAGAGGUCUUCAGGGAAACUGGGGAAGAUUUUCAGUUUAUAUUAGAGACUGAUUGUGUUAGCAGCUAUUUCUUUUCCAUGGUUUAAUUGGGUGAAUUGCUAAGUGCUCUUGGGGGAACAGCUGCAUCUAAUUUGUGGAUCCUUAACAGGUAACAUUCAAUCUCGUCGCAAUUAAUAAGAGCUCAGAGGUUGGGUAUUGAUUGUCAUUUUCUGUGCAUUUUAAAGUAUGUUAUUUUUAUUGGCGGUUCUGAUUUGGAUGUGAGCAGGAACUGGUGACCAUUGAAGUGAGACAGAGGGAGAUCACUUGAAUCUUUUGCAAAGUCUUUUCCAGCUGGCAUUCACAGACGCAUUUCUCCCUCUCUCCCUCCGUCCAUCUUUUCUUUCCUCACUCUCUCUUAACCACAUGAGUCUUGAGUCCCUCUGUGGUCCAGGACCAGGCUGAGGGCUUGUUCUCCUCUUAAUCAAAGCAACAGAUGCGAUUAGUCUGGAGUGGGUGGCACAGGCUGCUCUACCCCUGGGUAAUCAAUUUGCAAUGGCAGAUGCUCACGGGGAAGAAACUUGCCUGCUGCCCAACAGCUGUUCGCCAAAAAAAAGCCCCCUACUGUACAUCUUGGAUGGCCUGAGGUGUUGGAGAGGAGACAGAUGGUGCUGUUUUGGCGCCUGCGCAGUAAAACUUUUCCCGGACUAAAAAUGUUGCACUGAAUGGCGAUGGCAAUAAAAACAGCAACAGAUUGAUGGAUAAAUUAAGAGAAAAUGAUGAUAAGGAAUUAAAUCUUAAUAGUUAAACGUGAUUAUGAUGGACAGAAAGGAGGUGCGGGCAUGGGCUUUGCCUUUCGAGCAGCUGCCGAUUGGAAAAGAAACGCCAGCCAACAUUUAGUUGCACACAGUCUGGCUACUCGAGCCACCAGCGCAGCACACCUUGGCUAACUGGAAUUUGUAGCAUUACACUAAAAGGCAAUUAUUUCUACUUUGCUUGUCAAAGCACGGCAAGAGUUUGACAAAUGAUAGCAGGCCGUUUGAAGCAAUGUUCAUCCAUUUUAAUUAAAGCAUUGGGCUCGUGAGAAGACUGGAGUGGCACAAAACCGCUGCCCAGGAACAAUGUCUCCAGGCAGGACUGUGGGACAGAGUGCCUCACUAUUACAGCUGAAACCUCAUGGAGCUGGGACGACUGGUAUUUGCAUUUGUAAUACAGUGGGUAUAGAAAAUAAUCACCCCCACCUUUAAAAUAAUUACAUUUAGUUGCUUUGCAGCCUGAAAUGAAGACAGACCAUUUUUUUUUAUACAGCCUUUACUCUGUU